AGAGUUUGAUCCUGGCUCAGAACGUACGCUGGCGGCACGCCUAACACAUGCAAGUCGAACGAAGUAGCAAUACUUAGUGGCAGACGGGUGAGUAACAUGUAGGUAUCUGCCCUUUGGCCUGGAAUAACACGAGGAAACUUGUGCUAAUACCGGAUAAGUCUUUACGGAGAAAGCUUUAUGCACCAUUGGAUGAGCCUGCACUUGAUUAGUUUGUUGGUGGGGUAAUGGCCUACCAAGACUGUGAUCAAUAGCUGAUUUGAGAGGAUGAUCAGCCACAUUGGGACUGAGACACGGCCCAAACUCCUACGGGAGGCAGCAGUGGGGAAUCUUGCACAAUGGAGGAAACUCUGAUGCAGCGAUGCCGCGUGAGUGAAGAAGGCCUUUGGGUUGUAAAGCUCUUUCGUCGGGGAAGAAAAUGACUGUACCCGAAUAAGAAGGUCCGGCUAACUUCGUGCCAGCAGCCGCGGUAAUACGAAGGGACCUAGCGUAGUUCGGAAUUACUGGGCUUAAAGAGUUCGUAGGUGGUUGAAAAAGUUAGUGGUGAAAUCCCAGAGCUUAACUCUGGAACUGCCAUUAAAACUUUUCAGCUAGAGUAUGAUAGAGGAAAGUAGAAUUUCUAGUGUAGAGGUGAAAUUCGUAGAUAUUAGAAAGAAUACCAAUUGCGAAGGCAGCUUUCUGGAUCAUUACUGACACUGAGGAACGAAAGCAUGGGUAGCGAAGAGGAUUAGAUACCCUCGUAGUCCAUGCCGUAAACGAUGUGUGUUAGACGUUGGAAAUUUAUUUUCAGUGUCGCAGGGAAACCGAUAAACACACCGCCUGGGGAGUACGACCGCAAGGUUAAAACUCAAAUGAAUUGACGGGGACCCGCACAAGUAGUGGAGCAUGUGGUUUAAUUCGAAGAUACGCGCAGAACCUUACCAACACUUGACAUGUUCGUCGCAACUCUAAGAGAUUAGAGUUUUCGGUUCGGCCGGACGAAACACAGGUGCUGCAUGGCUGUCGUCAGCUCGUGUCGUGAGAUGUUGGGUUAAGUCCCGCAACGAGCGCAACCCUCACUUUUAGUUGCCAUCAUUAAGUUGGGCACUCUGAAAGAACUGCCAGUGAUAAGCUGGAGGAAGGUGGGGAUGACGUCAAGUCCUCAUGGCCCUUACGUGUUGGGCUACACACGUGCUACAAUGGUAUCUACAACAGGAAGCAAAACUGCGAAGUUAAGCAAAUCCCUAAAAGAUACCUCAGUUCGGAUUGCACUCUGCAACUCGAGUGCAUGAAGCUGGAAUUACUAGUAAUCGUGGAUCAGCGUGCCACGGUGAAUGCGUUCCCGGGUCUUGUACACACCGCCCGUCACACCAUGGGAGUUGGUUCUACCUUAAGGCAAGGUUUCAAACCCUUGACCACGGUAUAGUCAGCGACUGGGGUGAAGUCGUAACAAGGUAACC
rnacentral:rRNA from 2 species